CUGACAAACUAAAUAUUCUACACAACUUGAUAAACGAGCCAAAUCCAAUCAGAUUCAGUCUCUAAAAGCAGCUGCUGAUAACAUCUGGACAUUAUUAAUGUUCCACAAUCACCAGAAACAUGAUGAGCACUUUGAUCUGUUCCAACAAAACAUCUGUGAGAUGUGGAACAACAACUUUAUUACUGAUAAACAAUCCUUCAGAGGAUGGAAAACAAUGAAAUAUCAGAUCAGGAGCUGUAGUUUGAUCAGCAGGAGCCAGUUGAUGGUUGGACAGAGUGUCAUUUUUCUACACAGCAUCAGAGUGAAGUUGUUGGAUUUUCUUCCCAAUAAAAGUGGUUGAGAUGAUGAUGUGAUCAGCUCCUUCAUCAACAUGUGAAUGUGUAGAAAUAAAGGCCAGAGUGAGGCUGUGGUCAGAGAGGAGGAGCUUUCUUAGUCCUCAGCUGUUUCCAGGAAGCUGCUGCAGCUUCAUCAUGUCUCAUAUUAACGUCAUCUAAAGGUGCAGCAGCUGAUCUUUGCUCUUUGUGUCUCAGAGUGACGGCAGCCUGCAGACACAGAGGAGGAUUUUCUCUCAGACCUGGUCCACACAGCAGAGAGCUGCAGAGGAAGAAGCUGAGUGUUUCAGAGUGACGGCAGCCUGCAGACUCAGAGGACCGGUGACGGAGAAGCAGCCCAGGAUUUUCUCUGUUUCUGCUCAAACCCAGACAGCAGAGAUCUGGACUGGUGGGAAGAAGCUGAGUGGAGUCCUGACUGGUUCCAGGAAACAGAUCACCUGUCUGAGCGUCCAGGAGUGGACUGGAAACUUUCUUCUUCUUCUUCAGCGCUUUGAAUAAAGUGUGAAGGUAGAAAGUGUGUGUGAGCUGCUGUGAGUUGAGCAUCAUGGAUGAGUGUGAGGACAGAGAGGAGGGAGUCCCUCCCUCUAAAAGCUCUCUGUGUGGGGAACAGGAGAACCAGAGCAAAGCUCAGAGGUGAGAGCACCAUCUCUAACUGUCCAGGACUCUGCUGCAUGUCAGAGCUCAGCAUCACAUCACUGCUGCAUCAUUAUUGACAGGAAUCCAC